rnacentral:tRNA from 1 species
UGCGGGGUGGAGCAGCUGGUAGCUCGUCGGGCUCAUAACCCGAAGGUCACAGGUUCGAAUCCUGUCCCCGCGA